GGUCAUGAUCUCACGGUUUGUGGCAUCAAGCCCUGCUUCCAGCUCGGCACUGACAAUGUGGAGCCUGCUUGGGAUUCUUUCUCCCUUUGCCCCUCCCCCAC